GACGAACGCUGGCGGCGUGCUUAACACAUGCAAGUCGAACGGAAAGGCCCUGCUUUUGUGGGGUGCUCGAGUGGCGAACGAGUGAGUAACACGUGAGUAACCUGCCCUUGACUUUGGGAUAACUUCAGGAAACUGGGGCUAAUACCGGAUAGGCGCUCCUGCUGCAUGGUGGGGGUUGGAAAGUUUCGGCGGUUGGGGAUGGACUCGCGGCUUAUCAGCUUGUUGGUGGGGUAGUGGCUUACCAAGGCUUUGACGGGUAGCCGGCCUGAGAGGGUAACCGGCCACAUUGGGACUGAGAUACGGCCCAGACUACUACGGGAGGCAGCAGUGGGGAAUAUUGCACAAUGGGCGGAAGCCUGAUGCAGCAACGCCGCGUGCGGGAUGACGGCCUUCGGGUUGUAAACCGCUUUCGCCUGUGACGAAGCGUGAGUGACGGUAAUGGGUAAAGAAGCACCGGCUAACUACGUG
rnacentral:rRNA from 1 species